CACAAAUGAACCACCUUUAACACAGGUGAAACUCCUUUACAAAAUUAUGUCCACCACUUGCGGCUCAAUGCUGGAGAAUCACCAUCUGUGGAUCGUUUGCCCAUUAGGGCCCCAAGACUAUAUAAAAUUCACCAGAAGCAGCUUACAUUGUGGUAGAGAUAAGGAGAGUAUUUGCAAUUGACCGGCCGACCUAGAGAUAGAUAAAUAGAUUUAGAUUUAGAUCAAAAACAGAAAGUCAAAAUGGAUCCUGAACGUGUAAAGGAAAUCUUGGAUUUCAAGAUAAACAACCGGCUUCCUGAGGGCUUGACGAAGCAUCAGCGUUAUAGCAUCAGAAGAAGAUCCACCAAUUUUGUCCUGCAGGAGACAGAUGGGGUGCAUAGAGGAACGUUCCUAGUUACGACCACAAGGGGGCAGCUCCCCUCAGGUCCGUAAUGCUUAAAGCACGGUGGAUGUAGACCUCACUUGGUCCAAAGGGUUUUAUAAACCAUGUCGGCUUGUCACAUGACUAUUGUGGUUUGGUAUGCUAGCUUACAGCGAACAUGCUAACGAAUAUAGCAUAGGAGAUUAUGUGGGCUAAGCUGGGACCCUAUAAAAUCUCCAUAGCCUGGCACCACAUAAUGAAUUGGAGAGUGAGAUUGUCAAUGCUUACCUUUUGGUUGGUGGUCCACAAGAAAGUAAAGGUCAUUGACACAUUUGGAAUGACACCUCAACAGAAAUGGGGAAGCUUGACGUAUCUGAUUGGGGCUGUCUGCAAGGACAGACACUGGACUCAUGGCCAUGUAUCCAAGUCAAAGCCAAGCUGUGUUUGUUGA
rnacentral:lncRNA from 1 species